rnacentral:lncRNA from 1 species
AUGAUGAUAAACUCUUCUCUGCUGCUCUCCAUCGUCUCCAAUAUCACCUCUUGCGUGAGAGUUUCCUCUGACCUUUACCGCCCGCUCAGCCAACAUACGAAUACAGGAAGAAACACACAACUUAGAAAAGGUAAGUUACAAAGGAAGCAAUGAAUUAUUCGGUGGCAGGAGGCAGUUUUCCAUGGUGGUUUAGAGCACAGACUCAGGCAGCAGAUUUCUUGGAUUGAAAUCUGAGCACAUAUGAAGAACAUUUCUACUAUCGCAGAAAGUUCUAUUGGACAGCUUUGGCACCUACUCAUGAAAACAAAAGCAACGGAUGAAAAAAAUAACAGAACACCAAAAAAGGAAUUCUGGGUUUGUUUUCUUUUUAAG